AGUGAACGCUGGCGGUAGGCCUAACACAUGCAAGUCGAACGGCAGCACAGUAAGAGCUUGCUCUUACGGGUGGCGAGUGGCGGACGGGUGAGGAAUACAUCGGAAUCUACUUUUUCGUGGGGGAUAACGUAGGGAAACUUACGCUAAUACCGCAUACGACCUACGGGUGAAAGCAGGGGAUCUUCGGACCUUGCGCGAUUGAAUGAGCCGAUGUCGGAUUAGCUAGUUGGCGGGGUAAAGGCCCGCCAAGGCGACGAUCCGUAGCUGGUCUGAGAGGAUGAUCAGCCACACUGGAACUGAGACACGGUCCAGACUCCUACGGAAGGCAGCAGUGGGGAAUAUUGGACAAUGGGCGCAAGCCUGAUCCAGCCAUACCGCGUGGGUGAAGAAGGCCUUCGGGUUGUAAAGCCCUUUUGUUGGGAAAGAAAAGCAGCAGGUUAAUACCCCGCUGUUCUGACGGUACCCAAAGAAUAAGCACCGGCUAACUUCGUG
rnacentral:rRNA from 1 species